rnacentral:misc_RNA from 1 species
GAUGAAGAACGCAGCGAAAUGCGAUAAGUAAUGUGAAUUGCAGAAUUCAGUGAAUCAUCGAAUCUUUGAACGCAUAUUGCGCCCGCCAGUAUUCUGGCGGGCAUGCCUGUUCGAGCGUCAUUUCAACCAUCAAGCCCCCGGCUUGUGUUGGGGACCUGCGGCUGCCGCAGGCCCUGAAAACCAGUGGCGGGCUCGCUGUCACACCGAGCGUAGUAGAUUUUCAUCUCGCUCAGGGCGUGCUGCGGGUUCCGGCCGUAAAAAGCCUUAUUUACCCAAGGUUGACCUCGGAUCAGGUAGGAAGACCCGCUGAACUUAAGCAUAUCAAUAAGCGGAGGA